UACGUAGGCAGCAAGCGUUGUUCGGAGUUACUGGGCGUAAAGGGUGCGUAGGCGGCUUUUUAAGUUUGGUGUGAAAUCUCCCGGCUCAACCGCAAGCGGUCGUGGGAAACUGGGUGGCUAGAGUGCGGGAGAGGAGAGUGGAAUUCCUGGUGUAGCGGUGGAAUGCGCAGAUAUCAGGAAGAACACCCGUGGCGAAGGCGGCUCUCUGGAACGCAACUGACGCUGAGACGCGAAAGCGUGGGGAGCAAACAGG
rnacentral:rRNA from 1 species